rnacentral:tRNA from 1 species
UGGCAAAGUGGUUAAGCAUUUGGCUGCUAACCAAAUGGUCAGUGGUUUGAAUCCACC